rnacentral:lncRNA from 1 species
UAACUCACCUCUCGAUAAUGUCUGCAGAUGAAGUGGACAAGGAGAGGGAGACAGACUUGGCUAUAUUGUCACACACACCAUGACCCAUGAACUUGGCAGUUUCUAUUGGAGCAUCCUUGGCACGAACCUACAGUGAAAGCUCAAGCAUCGCCACCACCAGAGCAGACAGUAACAACUACAGACAAGCUGGAUGACGCUGUGGAGGUGAUGCCUCUGGUGAAAACAGCGGUCCAGCCGGGCUCCAACCCCAUAUGCGCCGGCUCCACCUCCCCAGGUGACCACAUGGACGACUCCACCACGGUCAUCAAGCGUACCACAACACCAUCACCUGGCCAACACUGACUGACCUCCUGGGUGGCUGCACAAAUACCUAUCAGGCUUUCAAGACACUCAACCUCACCAGGACCUUCCUACACAAAACAAAUCAACUUCACCGCAUAUAGCCUGACUACAUCACCUCCACAUCCCGGACCUUUGGGGCACUAGAGGCUGUGACACACAGCCUGCACGGCCCUGACAAAUCCCCAAGAAGAAGAAAGAUGUCAUGUGAAUUACCAGAAGUAUGAGCUAUUAUAUAUUGGUACCUUGAAAGAAAGUUUUUUUUUGUGAUGUACCUAUCAUCACUUUGUUUACACCUACAAAGAUGUCUAGGGUUUGAUUUUUGAGCUUCUGUUACCACCAACUACUGUCUCAAUACUGAACCUUGGCCUCAUAGGAUGCAGGGUCAUUUCCUGAAACAUUUUUUUUAGAAAAAGGUGCACCUUAUGAGCCAUCAAAUACGCAAAGUUUCCUGUUAUAUCUAACAUAUUUGAUACUGAUAACCUUGCUUGUAUUAGCAGGUACAGCUGGGUACAGUUAACAACCAACAGUCCAAAGGGGUCUGGGUGAGACCAAACAAUGGUAGAUGACACUGCUGUACGCAAAGAAAAGUCAGAUACAGAGUCUGAAGCAGAGCGCUUUAAUUAAUUUAUUUUUUCCCCUAUAGCACCUGUAAGUCUACUUGAAGAGUAUGAGAAGCACUGUUCAGCUUCCACCCAUUAGCGGCGCAGGCAAUUUUAUUUAUAGUGGUAUCCAUAUAGGGCCCAUAUCACCACCCAAGCACAUCUUUGGUGUAAGGCAAUUACACCUCCACUUAGAACCUGGGUGCCAUGGUAAGUAAGUACCUUUAAACUACUUGAAAAAUGACACCGUUUCAAAACGGUAUGUGGUAGGAUUCAAACUUACGCAUGGACAUCUGCCUGAUCCCAUGCUCACCACUUUAUCCACUAUGUCACUGCCUUCCUAAGGCUCCCUAAGAGUAGUAAGUGAGGUGUGGGUGACACCACCACCAUGACUCAGGGAUGCCACUGACAAUGGCAGAUGGCAUUGCUGUAUUCUAAGAAAAGUCAGAUAUAGAGUCCAAAGUGAAGCGAGAUGAGAAUACAUGGGAUGUGUGUAACACCACCACCAGAACUCAGGGUUGCUACAGUGUGCCACCAAAAGAAAUGCUGGAUACAGAGAGAUCAUGGGCACAGAGAAUAUAUGUACCAUAAUAGGUGUAUACAUCCACAAUAUAGUAAUAAAAUACAAUAUAACAAAAACAUGUCAAACAACUAUCACAUGGUGAGUAAUGGGCAUUUUUCCUCAUUGUAUUACAAGAAUGCCAAAAAAAUUUUCAAUAUGUAUUAUUUUUUCAUGAAUAAGUCUGUUUACAGGAAAACCACGUUGUUAACUGUAGACUCUUACACUGUCAAUUUUUUGUGGAGAAAAUGGGGUUCAUAAAUCCACGAGUACAGUAAGUCCUCGUUAUACGGUAGUUCUUUAUCCAGUAAAUUCACAGUUAUGGAGUUUGGAAAUUACUACCUUCCAUUCAAUAUACGGUAAGAAAAAUUCACAGAUAUAA